rnacentral:rRNA from 1 species
AGUGAACGCUGGCGGUAGGCCUAACACAUGCAAGUCGAACGGCAGCACCGUGAGCGCUUGCUCUUACGGGUGGCGAGUGGCGGACGGGAGACGAAGGCGUCGGACUCUACUUUUUCGUGGGGGAUAAUGUCGGGAAACUUACGCUAAUACCGCACACGACCUGCGUGUGGAAGCAGGUGAUCUUCGUAACUUACUCGGUUGAGUGAACCGCUGUCGGAUCAGCGAGCUGGCGGGGGAAAGGCCGACGAAGGAGCCGAUCCGUAGCUGGUCUGAGAGCAUGAUCAGACAGACUGGAACUGAGACACGGUCCAGACUCCUACGGGAGGCCGCAGUGGGGAAUAUUGGACAAGGGGCGAGAGCCUGAUACAGCACUACCGGCUGGGUCAAGAAGGAGUUAUGGUUGGUAUGUCCAUUUGUUGGGAAAGAAAAGCAGCAGGUUAGUACCCCGCGGUUCUGACGGUACCCAAAGAAUAAGCCCCGGCUAACUUCGUG